rnacentral:tRNA from 1 species
GUGGGUGUAGCUCAACGGUUAGAGCGCCAGCUUGUGGAGCUGGAUGUUGCGGGUUCAAUUCCCGUCACCCACC